AACGAACGCUGGCGGCAUGCCUAACACAUGCAAGUCGAACGAUCCCUUCGGGGAUAGUGGCGCACGGGUGCGUAACGCGUGGGAACCUGCCCUUAGGUUCGGAAUAACUCAGAGAAAUUUGAGCUAAUACCGGAUAAUGUCUUCGGACCAAAGAUUUAUCGCCUUUGGAUGGGCCCGCGUUGGAUUAGUUAGUUGGUGGGGUAAAGGCCUACCAAGGCGACGAUCCAUAGCUGGUCUGAGAGGAUGAUCAGCCACACUGGGACUGAGACACGGCCCAGACUCCUACGGGAGGCAGCAGUGGGGUAUAUUGGACAAUGGGCGAAAGCCUGAUCCAGCAAUGCCGCGUGAGUGAUGAAGGCCUUAGGGUUGUAAAGCUCUUUUACCCGGGAUGAUAAUGACAGUACCGGGAGAAUAAGCCCCGGCUAACUCCGUG
rnacentral:rRNA from 1 species